GAGUUUGAUCCUGGCUCAGGAUGAACGCUGGCGGCGCGCCUAACACAUGCAAGUCGAACGAGAAGCACCUCUCCGGAGGUGUGGAUAGUGGCGAACGGCUGAGUAACACGUGGGCAACCUGCCCCUCUCAUCGGGAUAGCCUCGGGAAACCGGGGAUAAUACCGGAUACUCCAACGCUUUCGCAUGGAAGCGUUGGGAAAGCUCUGGCGGAGAGGGAUGGGCCCGCGGCCUGUUAGCUAGUUGGCGGGGUAACGGCCCACCAAGGCUUCUAUGGGUAGCCGGGUUGAGAGACCGACCGGCCAGAUUGGGACUGAGACACGGCCCAGACUCCUACGGGAGGCAGCAGUGGGGAAUAUUGGACAAUGGGGGGAACCCUGAUCCAGCGACGCCGCGUGAGUGAAGAAGUAUUUCGGUAUGUAAAGCUCUAUCAGCAGGGAAGAAAGAAAUGACGGUACCUGACUAAGAAGCCCCGGCUAACUACGUGCCAGCAGCCGCGGUAAUACGUAGGGGGCAAGCGUUAUCCGGAUUUACUGGGUGUAAAGGGAGCGUAGACGGUUACGCAAGUCUGGAGUGAAAGGCGGGGGCCCAACCCCCGGACUGCUUUGGAAACUGUAUAACUGGAGUGCAGGAGAGGUAAGUGGAAUUCCUAGUGUAGCGGUGAAAUGCGUAGAUAUUAGGAGGAACACCAGUGGCGAAGGCGGCUUACUGGACUGUAACUGACGUUGAGGCUCGAA
rnacentral:rRNA from 1 species